AUACUUAGUGGCAGACGGGUGAGUAACAUGUAGGUAUCUGCCCUUUGGCCUGGAAUAACACGAGGAAACUUGUGCUAAUACCGGAUAAGUCUUUACGGAGAAAGCUUUAUGCGCCGAAGGAUGAGCCUGCAUUUGAUUAGUUUGUUGGUGGGGUAAUGGCCUACCAAGACUUUGAUCAAUAGCUGAUCUGAGAGGAUGAUCAGCCACAUUGGGACUGAGACACGGCCCAAACUCCUACGGGAGGCAGCAGUAGGGAAUAUUGCACAAUGGAGGAAACUCUGAUGCAGCGAUGCCGCGUGAGUGAAGAAGGCCUUUGGGUUGUAAAGCUCUUUCGUCGGGGAAGAAAAUGACUGUACCCGAAUAAGAAGGUCCGGCUAACUUCGUGCCAGCAGCCGCGGUAAUACGAAGGGACCUAGCGUAGUUCGGAAUUACUGGGCUUAAAGAGUUCGUAGGUUGUUAAAAAAGUUGGUGGUGAAAUCCCAGAGCUUAACUCUGGAACUGCCAUCAAAACUUUUUAGCUAGAGUAUGAUAGAGGAAAGCAGAAUUUCUAGUGUAGAGGUGAAAUUCGUAGAUAUUAGAAAGAAUACCAAAUGCGAAGGCAGCUUUCUGGAUCAUUACUGACACUGAGGAACGAAAGCAUGGGUAGCGAAGAGGAUUAGAUACCCUCGUAGUCCAUGCCGUAAACGAUGUGUGUUAGACGUUGGAAAUUUAUUUUCAGUGUCG
rnacentral:rRNA from 1 species